GCCUGAUGGAGGGGGAUAACUACUGGAAACGGUGGCUAAUACCGCAUAACGUCGCAAGACCAAAGAGGGGGACCUUCGGGCCUCUUGCCAUCAGAUGUGCCCAGAUGGGAUUAGCUUGUUGGUGAGGUAACGGCUCACCAAGGCGACGAUCCCUAGCUGGUCUGAGAGGAUGACCAGCCACACUGGAACUGAGACACGGUCCAGACUCCUACGGGAGGCAGCAGUGGGGAAUAUUGCACAAUGGGCGCAAGCCUGAUGCAGCCAUGCCGCGUGUAUGAAGAAGGCCUUCGGGUUGUAAAGUACUUUCAGCGGGGAGGAAGGUGUUGUGGUUAAUAACCGCAGCAAUUGACGUUACCCGCAGAAGAAGCACCGGCUAACUCCGUGCCAGCAGCCGCGGUAAUACGGAGGGUGCAAGCGUUAAUCGGAAUUACUGGGCGUAAAGCGCACGCAGGCGGUCUGUCAAGUCGGAUGUGAAAUCCCCGGGCUCAACCUGGGAACUGCAUUCGAAACUGGCAGGCUUGAGUCUUGUAGAGGGGGGUAGAAUUCCAGGUGUAGCGGUGAAAUGCGUAGAGAUCUGGAGGAAUACCGGUGGCGAAGGCGGCCCCCUGGACAAAGACUGACGCUCAGGUGCGAAAGCGUGGGGAGCAAACAGGAUUAGAUACCCUGGUAGUCCACGCCGUAAACGAUGUCUACUUGGAGGUUGUGCCCUUGAGGCGUGGCUUCCGGAGCUAACGCGUUAAGUAGACCGCCUGGGGAGUACGGCCGCAAGGUUAAAACUCAAAUGAAUUGACGGGGGCCCGCACAAGCGGUGGAGCAUGUGGUUUAAUUCGAUGCAACGCGAAGAACCUUACCUGGUCUUGACAUCCACAGAAGAAUCCAGAGAUGGAUUUGUGCCUUCGGGAACUGUGAGACAGGUGCUGCAUGGCUGUCGUCAGCUCGUGUUGUGAAAUGUUGGGUUAAGUCCCGCAACGAGCGCAAC
rnacentral:rRNA from 1 species